rnacentral:rRNA from 1 species
GUAACACGUGGGUAACCUGCCUGUAAGACUGGGAUAACUCCGGGAAACCGGGGCUAAUACCGGAUGCUUGUUUGAACCGCAUGGUUCAAACAUAAAAGGUGGCUUCGGCUACCACUUACAGAUGGACCCGCGGCGCAUUAGCUAGUUGGUGAGGUAAUGGCUCACCAAGGCAACGAUGCGUAGCCGACCUGAGAGGGUGAUCGGCCACACUGGGACUGAGACACGGCCCAGACUCCUACGGGAGGCAGCAGUAGGGAAUCUUCCGCAAUGGACGAAAGUCUGACGGAGCAACGCCGCGUGAGUGAUGAAGGUUUUCGGAUCGUAAAGCUCUGUUGUUAGGGAAGAACAAGUACCGUUCGAAUAGGGCGGUACCUUGACGGUACCUAACCAGAAAGCCACGGCUAACUACGUGCCAGCAGCCGCGGUAAUACGUAGGUGGCAAGCGUUGUCCGGAAUUAUUGGGCGUAAAGGGCUCGCAGGCGGUUUCUUAAGUCUGAUGUGAAAGCCCCCGGCUCAACCGGGGAGGGUCAUUGGAAACUGGGGAACUUGAGUGCAGAAGAGGAGAGUGGAAUUCCACGUGUAGCGGUGAAAUGCGUAGAGAUGUGGAGGAACACCAGUGGCGAAGGCGACUCUCUGGUCUGUAACUGACGCUGAGGAGCGAAAGCGUGGGGAGCGAACAGGAUUAGAUACCCUGGUAGUCCACGCCGUAAACGAUGAGUGCUAAGUGUUAGGGGGUUUCCGCCCCUUAGUGCUGCAGCUAACGCAUUAAGCACUCCGCCUGGGGAGUACGGUCGCAAGACUGAAACUCAAAGGAAUU